rnacentral:rRNA from 1 species
CCUACGGGGGGCAGCAGUGGGGAAUAUUGGGCAAUGGGCGCAAGCCUGACCCAGCAACGCCGCGUGAAGGAAGAAGGCUUUCGGGUUGUAAACUUCUUUUGACAGGGAAGAGCAGAAGACGGUACCUGUCGAAUAAGCCACGGCUAACUACGUGCCAGCAGCCGCGGUAAUACUGAGGUGGCAGGCGUUGUCCGGCUUUAAUGGGUGUAAAGGGCGUGUAGCCGGGCUGACAAGGCAGAUGUGAAAUCCGGGGGCUCAACCCCCGAACUGCAUUUGAAACUGGUGGUCUUGAGUAUCGGAGAGGCAGGCGGAAUUCCUAGUGUAGCGGUGAAAUGCGUAGAUAUUAGGAAGAACACCAGUGGCGAAGGCAGCCUGCUGGACGAAAACUGACGGUGAGGCGCGAAAGCGUGGGGAGCAAACAGGAUUAGAUACCCGAGUAGUC